CGGGGACAACGGUGGCGGUGAAACUCGCCGGAUGACUGGAGCUGAAAGGGGGGAAAUUAGAAACCCUAGGUUGAUUUUGAAUUAAGAAUUGGGGGAAAAGGAAGGAAAGGAAGAAGAAGGGGAGAGAGGCGCCGGCCUCGCCGCGCCGGAGGCGGCGAGGACUGGCGACGUCGCCGGGCGAGAGGGAGAGGGAAAGUGAGAGACGAGGUGAGAGAACAGAGAGAAAUGGGUCUGCGUAAAAUGAAAAAGAAGGAAGAAGAGAG
rnacentral:lncRNA from 1 species